rnacentral:rRNA from 1 species
AUUGAACGCUGGCGGCAGGCCUAACACAUGCAAGUCGAGCGGAUGAAGGGAGCUUGCUCCUGGAUUCAGCGGCGGACGGGUGAGUAAUGCCUAGGAAUCUGCCUGGUAGUGGGGGAUAACGUCCGGAAACGGGCGCUAAUACCGCAUACGUCCUGAGGGAGAAAGUGGGGGAUCUUCGGACCUCACGCUCUCAGAUGAGCCUAGGUCGGAUUAGCUAGUUUGUGGGGUAAGGGCCUACCAAGGCGACGAUCCGUAACUGGUCUGAGAGGAUGAUCAGUCACACUGGAACUGAGACACGGUCCAGACUCCUACGGGGGGCAGCAGUGGGGAAUAUUGGACAAUGGGCGAAAGCCUGAUCCAGCCAGGCCGCGUGUGUGAAGAAGGUCUUCGGAUUGUAAAGCACGUUAAGUUGGGAGGAAGGGCAGUAAGUUAAUACCUUGCUGUUUUGACGGUACCAACAGAAUAAGCACCGGCUAACUUCGUG